UCAGUACAAAUAAUAUGCUGCUGACACUAAAGGACAAAAAGACCCUUUGAAGCUUUAUAGGGAUAAAACUCAGCUUUAAAUCAACAAACAAUGAAAUCCAUCUUGUUGCUUCUCCGCUUUUAAAAUUGCUAAAGCCUUACAAGAUUUACAACAUCAAGACCACUGUUUAAUUGGGGCGAUAA
rnacentral:rRNA from 1 species